rnacentral:rRNA from 1 species
UACGUAGGGGGCAAGCGUUGUCCGGAUUUAUUGGGCGUAAGAGCGUGUAGGCGGCUAGGUAGGGCCGUUGGGAAAACUCGAGGCUCAACCUCGAGACGCCGGUGGAAACCAUCUAGCUAGAGUCCGGAAGAGGAGAGUGGAAUUCCUGGUGUAGCGGUGAAAUGCGCAGAUAUCAGGAAGAACACCCGUGGCGAAGGCGGCUCUCUGGGACGUGACUGACGCUGAGACGCGAAAGCGUGGGGAGCGAACAGG